GUUUUUGUUCUUUGUGUAUUGCUGGUUUCAUGCUCUGAUUCUGGCAAUAAUGAGGAUUACUAGGGAUGCCAAGCGUUCCAUGUUACUCUGCCAUCUAGGCGGCCACUGUGUUAGAGGUGGGUUAAGCUGGGCAGAGACAGCCUGUGUUCAUGGGAAAAACCUGUGUGUUGGGCUGUGUGCUCCUGGAGGCAGAGGAUUGUCUCUUCUCCAUCUUUGCAUCCCCAGUGACUAGAACAUCAAAGGCAUCUGUGCAUACUGUUAAAUGAAGGAGUGCAGAAUUUGACAUGAGAAAACCCGAAACGGGAGCAUUUCACUCUCGUCGCCCAAGUUGGAGUGCAAUGGUGUGAUCUCGGCUCACUGCAACAUCUGCCUCCCCAGUUCAAGAGAUUAUCCUGCCUCAGCCUCCCGAGUAGCUGGGAUUACAGGUGCCUGACACCAAGCCUGGCUAAUUUUUGUAUUUUUAGUAGAGAUGGGGUUUCACCAUGUUGGUCAGGCUGGUCUCGAACUCCUGGCCUCAAGUGAUCCGCUUACCUCAGCCUCCCAAAGUGCUGGGAUUACAGGCAUGAGCCACCGCAUCUAGCCUGUUAUACAUCCUUCUGCGAAGUUGUCUGUGAUGUUAAUACUGAGUGUCAACUUGAUUGGAUUGAAGGAUACAAAGUAUUGAUCCUGGGUGCGUCUGUGAAGGUGUUGCCAAAGGAGAUUAACAUUUGGUCAGGGGACUGGGAGAGGCGGACCCACCCUUAAUCUGGGUGUGCACCAUCUGAUCAGCUGUCAGCGUGGCUAGAAUAUAAAAAGCAGGCAGGGUAUAUACCCAAAGGAUUAUAAAU
rnacentral:lncRNA from 1 species